GAAAGUAAGCAAGGGCAGACGGUGGAUGCCUUGGCUCUCGGAGGCGACGAAGGACGUGAUAAGCUGCGAAAAGCCCGGGGGAGGCGCAAAUAGCCCUUGAUCCCGGGAUAUCCGAAUGGGGCAACCCGGCAGGCUGAAGGCCUGUCAUCCCGUAAGGGAGGCGAACGUGGGGAACUGAAACAUCUAAGUACCCAUAGGAGGAGAAAAUAAACAAUGAUUCCGUAAGUAGUGGCGAGCGAACACGGAAGAGCCCAAACCCAUGUCGUCUAGGCGACACGGGGGUUGUAGGACCACGACGUGGCAAGAUAGAGUCAAGUGGAACGCCUUGGAAAAGGCGGUCAUAGAGGGUGAAAACCCCGUACACGACUGACGAUUGAAGCCUAGUGGCAUCCUGAGUAGCGCGGGGCACGAGAAAUCUUGCGUGAAUUAGCGGGGCCCAUCCCGUAAGGCUAAAUACUCCCGAGAGACCGAUAGCGAACCAGUACCGUGAGGGAAAGGUGAAAAGAACCCCGAGCAGGGGAGUGAAAUAGACCCUGAACCCGUCUGCCUACAAGCGGUCGGAGCGUCGUAAUGACGUGACGGCGUGCCUUUUGCAUAAUGAACCUACGAGUUACCUUCCCCGGCAAGGUUAAGUUCUUGAGGAACGGAGCCGAAGCGAAAGCGAGUCUGAACAGGGCGCCAAGUCGGGGGGGGUAGACGCGAAACCGAGUGAUCUACCCUUGGCCAGGUUGAAGGUUGGGUAACACCAACUGGAGGACCGGAUGGGUAAGCGUUGAAAAGCUUUCCAAUGAGCUGAGGGUAGGGGUGAAAGGCUAAUCAAACUCGGAGAUAGCUCGUACUCCCCGAAAUGCAUUUAGGUGCAGCCUCUUUAUAGUAUAUCGUGAGGUAGAGCGACUGAUUGGAUGCGAGGGCUUCACCGCCUAUCAAGUCCAGAUAAACUCCGAAUGCGCGAUAUAUAUUUACAGGGAGUGAGGGCGCGGGUGCUAAGGUCCGUGUCCGAGAGGAGAAGAAUCCAGACCACCGGCUAAGGCCCCCAAAUGAUCGUUAAGUUGAACUAACGAGGUCGGAUCGCAGAGACAGCUAGGAUGUUGGCUUGGAAGCAGCCAUUCAUUUAAAGAGUGCGUAACAGCUCACUAGUCGAGCGAUCUGGCGUGGAUAAUAAUCGGGCAUAAACGAUCUGCCGAAGCCGUGGAUGUCGCAAGACAUGGUAGGGGAGCAUUCCAUGCGGCGUCGAAGAUGAGGGAUGACCCUUGUUGGAGCGCAUGGAAAAGCAAAUGUAGGUAUGAGUAACGAUAAGGGGGGCGAGAAACCCCCCCGCCGAAAGACCAAGGUUUCCUGAUCAACGCUAAUCGGAUCAGGGUGAGUCGGGACCUAAGGCAAAGCCGAACGGCGCCGCCGAUGGAAGAAUGGGUUAAUAUUCCCAUACUGCCUCAUGGAGUGACGUGGAGACGGAGAAGUGACAGUCCUGCCGGCUGACGGAAUAGCCGGUUGAAGGGUGUAGAUAUUGAUUCCCGUAGGCAAAUCCGCGGGGAGAGUCGAACCUGAGAGUAUACGGAGCGCUUGCGCAACGUAAUAUGGACGUAACCAUGCUCCCGAGAAAAUCCGCUAAACUUAUCCAUGCGGCACCCGUACCGUAAACGGACACACGUGGUCGGGUUGAGAAUACUGAGGCGCUCGAGUGAUUCACGGUUAAGGAACUAGGCAAAUUGACCCUGUAACUUCGGGAUAAAGGGUCCUCGUCGUAAGGCGAGGCGCAGAGAAUAGGUCCAGGCAACUGUUUAACAAAAACACAUGGCUGUGCUAAAUGGAAACAUGAUGUAUACAGCCUGACACCUGCCCGGUGCCGGAAGGUUAAGAGGAGAUGUCAUCCGCGAGGAGAAGCGUUGAAUUGAAGCCCCGGUAAACGGCGGCCGUAACUAUAACGGUCCUAAGGUAGCGAAAUUCCUUGUCGGGUAAGUUC
rnacentral:rRNA from 1 species